rnacentral:rRNA from 1 species
GUUAAGCGACUAAGCGUACACGGUGGAUGCCCUGGCAGUCAGAGGCGAUGAAGGACGUGCUAAUCUGCGAUAAGCGUCGGUAAGGUGAUAUGAACCGUUAUAACCGGCGAUUUCCGAAUGGGGAAACCCAGUGUGAUUCGUCACACUAUCAUUAACUGAAUCCAUAGGUUAAUGAGGCGAACCGGGGGAACUGAAACAUCUAAGUACCCCGAGGAAAAGAAAUCAACCGAGAUUCCCCCAGUAGCGGCGAGCGAACGGGGAGCAGCCCAGAGCCUGAAUCAGUGUGUGUGUUAGUGGAAGCGUCUGGAAAGGCGCGCGAUACAGGGUGACAGCCCCGUACACAAAAAUGCACAUGCUGUGAGCUCGAUGAGUAGGGCGGGACACGUGGUAUCCUGUCUGAAUAUGGGGGGACCAUCCUCCAAGGCUAAAUACUCCUGACUGACCGAUAGUGAACCAGUACCGUGAGGGAAAGGCGAAAAGAACCCCGGCGAGGGGAGUGAAAAAGAACCUGAAACCGUGUACGUACAAGCAGUGGGAGCACGCUUAGGCGUGUGACUGCGUACCUUUUGUAUAAUGGGUCAGCGACUUAUAUUCUGUAGCAAGGUUAACCGAAUAGGGGAGCCGAAGGGAAACCGAGUCUUAACUGGGCGUUAAGUUGCAGGGUAUAGACCCGAAACCCGGUGAUCUAGCCAUGGGCAGGUUGAAGGUUGGGUAACACUAACUGGAGGACCGAACCGACUAAUGUUGAAAAAUUAGCGGAUGACUUGUGGCUGGGGGUGAAAGGCCAAUCAAACCGGGAGAUAGCUGGUUCUCCCCGAAAGCUAUUUAGGUAGCGCCUCGUGAAUUCAUCUCCGGGGGUAGAGCACUGUUUCGGCAAGGGGGUCAUCCCGACUUACCAACCCGAUGCAAACUGCGAAUACCGGAGAAUGUUAUCACGGGAGACACACGGCGGGUGCUAACGUCCGUCGUGAAGAGGGAAACAACCCAGACCGCCAGCUAAGGUCCCAAAGUCAUGGUUAAGUGGGAAACGAUGUGGGAAGGCCCAGACAGCCAGGAUGUUGGCUUAGAAGCAGCCAUCAUUUAAAGAAAGCGUAAUAGCUCACUGGUCGAGUCGGCCUGCGCGGAAGAUGUAACGGGGCUAAACCAUGCACCGAAGCUGCGGCAGCGACACUGUGUGUUGUUGGGUAGGGGAGCGUUCUGUAAGCCUGCGAAGGUGUGCUGUGAGGCAUGCUGGAGGUAUCAGAAGUGCGAAUGCUGACAUAAGUAACGAUAAAGCGGGUGAAAAGCCCGCUCGCCGGAAGACCAAGGGUUCCUGUCCAACGUUAAUCGGGGCAGGGUGAGUCGACCCCUAAGGCGAGGCCGAAAGGCGUAGUCGAUGGGAAACAGGUUAAUAUUCCUGUACUUGGUGUUACUGCGAAGGGGGGACGGAGAAGGCUAUGUUGGCCGGGCGACGGUUGUCCCGGUUUAAGCGUGUAGGCUGGUUUUCCAGGCAAAUCCGGAAAAUCAAGGCUGAGGCGUGAUGACGAGGCACUACGGUGCUGAAGCAACAAAUGCCCUGCUUCCAGGAAAAGCCUCUAAGCAUCAGGUAACAUCAAAUCGUACCCCAAACCGACACAGG